CUGCUCUUCACAAUUAUCUGCCGCUGCUGCUCAACUUAUUAUACUGAUUCCACCGUCAUUCAUAUAUCAACUCAAAUCGAACCAAUCAAAUAUAGACAAAACUCUGCUUUGGUUUAACUACGCACAGUUUGUUGCAGCUUCAUUUUGACCUAUUGCUAUUCCUUGAUCAUCUACAAUGUCCUUUCUUUGGUGGAUCAUCGGUGAUAUCUUCUAUUUUUCUAUCAAGUGUGAUUUCUUUGAUUAAAAAGCGAGGCAUUAAACCAGCAUCAACUCCUAAGUCAGAAGUUGAGAAGAAUGGCUCCACAAAAAUGGAUUUAAUCCACUAUUGAUGAAGCUUUGAUGGAUAUCCAUAACAAACUGCAUAAAAUGAAGACAAACAGAAACAAGAAAAGCUCAAAUCAUGUAGUGAAGCAGUAAAAUUCACUGAUGUUGGAGUAAUAACUCUAAGAUGAUAACUUCAAAUGCACUUUCAACACCUCCAUUGCCAGUUGCUUUUGAUCAAAUGUUGUUUUCUCUAAAUGUUACCUUUAGUGUUUGCGGAGAUGAAGCACAAUUUUGCAUAUACUCAACCAAGAGACCAGACAUGUUGAUCACAAUCUUUUAUGUAAUGGAGAAACAUAAGAUUGAAGUCAUAUAUGUCCAACAUCUUGCGCAAUGAUAAUGGAACAGCUGCAUGAUUCAAGCCCAUGUAAGGGUGAGUUGAAUUUCAUUUUAUGAGGGAGAGGAAAGUCCACCUAAGGGAGAAGAAGAAAGUCCAUAUGAUGAGAUCUUAAUUCAGAAAUUCAAAAUAAUUGCUCAAAAAUUUAUUUUAGAUUUUGUGUUUAUGUGUAGUGUGAAAAUAUCGAAUUCUAGGAAUGACAUUUUAGAUUUUCAUAUUCGGGAUGUUAAGUCAGAAGUUCAAGAGUUUAAUUUAGAUUUCAUGUUUAAUGAAAUUAUUGAAUUCUAGUAAUGACAUUCUAGAUUUGAUAUUUAUUGAUUUUGAUCAUGUCUCAAAUUAUUUUUUAAAUAGUUUUCUAGCCACUUGGAUUAGAUUGAUGGUGUUGACAUUAGAUCAUGAGUAUACUCCACUCAAGUUCUCAUUUUGA